CUCGCUGCUUCGAUUCGGGCGGGGGGAUGAAGGAGGGAGGGGGAGGAGGGUGGAGCCUAUAUUAAUUUUUUUGAAUAGAAUGAAUUUGCUCGCUGCUUCGAUUCGGGAGGGGGGGGGUGAAGGAGGGAGGGGGCGGAGGGAUGGAGCCUAUAUUAUUUUUUUGGAAUAUAAUGAAUUUGCUCGCUGCUUCGAUUCGGGCGGAGGGGGGGGGGGUGAAGGAGGGAUGGAGCCUAUAUUCUUUUUUUGGAAUAGAAUGAAUUUGCUCGCUGCUUCGAUUCGGGCGGGGGGUGAAAGAGGGAGGGGGAGGAGGGAUGGAGCCUAUAUUAAUUUUUUGGAAUAGAAUGAAUUUGCUCGCUGCUUCGAUUCGGGCGGGGGCCUAUAUUAAUUUUUUGGAAUAGAAUGAAUUUGCUCGCUGCUUCGAUUCGGGCCAAGAGUAGGGCGGCGAGUAGCCAAUGCACAGCUCGGCGCGCAUCCUGCUGAUGACCAUCGGGGAGCCGGCAUAGCGGUGGAAGGUGAAGGUUGGC